AUGGCGACCGGCGCACGGGUGAGUAACACGUAUCUAACCUGCCGAUGACUCGGGGAUAGCCUUUCGAAAGAAAGAUUAAUACCCGAUGGCAUAGUUCUUCCGCAUGGUAGAACUAUUAAAGAAUUUCGGUCAUCGAUGGGGAUGCGUUCCAUUAGCUUGUUGGCGGGGUAACGGCCCACCAAGGCAUCGAUGGAUAGGGGUUCUGAGAGGAAGGUCCCCCACAUGGAACUGAGACACGGUCCAAACUCCUACGGAAGGCAGCAG
rnacentral:rRNA from 1 species